rnacentral:rRNA from 1 species
AUACGGAGGAUGCGAGCGUUAUCCGGAUUUAUUGGGUUUAAAGGGAGCGUAGGUGGGAUAUUAAGUCAGCUGUGAAAGUUUGGGGCUCAACCUUAAAAUUGCAGUUGAUACUGGUUUCCUUGAGUACGGUAUAGGUGGGCGGAAUUCGUGGUGUAGCGGUGAAAUGCUUAGAUAUCACGAAGAACUCCGAUCGCGAAGGCAGCUCACCGGGCCGGAACUGACACUGAUGCUCGAAAGUGCGGGUAUCAAACAGGAUUAGAUACCCUGGUAGUCCGCACAGUAAACGAUGAAUACUCGCUGUUUGCGAUACACUGUAAGCGGCCAAGCGAAAGCGUUAAGUAAUCCACCUGGGGAGUACGUUCGCAAGAAUGAAACUCAAAUGAAUUGACGGGG